CGGUCUGUUUAUAGAAAAAGCAGCAAGUUAGGUGGCUGACUCCGGGAGGGCCUCUUGGCCACUCAGAAAAUACAGGAGUCCUUGGCUUUUUGCACCCCCAACCCCUGGCCCAUGGCCCUGCCUUGGGUCUUGGAUCCCACGGACUUCCUGUUACAGUGAUGUGAUGCGGUCCCGCCACUCCCAUCGUGGGAAUCAGAACUGCACAUUUCCUGCCUUUUAUCUUCUGGGUGCAAAUGAUCAAACCAAAGCACCCCCACUGGGGCAAGGGCCAGAGUUGUGGCUCUGGUUACAGAGAGCUCUCCAAGAAAGUGCAGGCAGCCUUCGUGGGUGGGGGAGGAGUGCCAGGGAAUGGUGGACCAGGCGCCACCUGCUCGCCCCAGGCCAGCCCUCCUCAGGCUGAGGACAAAUCUAUUGCCCAGACACGGUACACAGCCAGUGUGGGGGCACCCACUACAGUUGAUACAGCAAGAUUGCUAAUUCUGGAUUCCUCCCUGGGGAGACUGGGAAGCUUCACUGUGGAAUUUUAUCAUUAGCUGGUGAGCAUCAGACCCACCCUUGACUGCUGCCCAAGUGGAGUUUUGAAACCGAGCCCAACUUUGAAAUGGCAGAUUGAGAACAUAAACACAGACCGUGAUGUACCAGGCGACUUUAAGGUGAUGAAAAUGAUCUUGUAAUUUAGGUCCCUAAACAGGCGUCCCAAGUGAUCCCCCUGGCAGGGCAGGGACAUAGGUCUAUUUGCAUUUAUUCAGGUCUCACACAGAGGGAAGAGUUGCUUUGAUAAAGUAUGACAAUUGCAA